CCUACGGGAGGCAGCAGUGGGGAAUCUUGGACAAUGGGGGCAACCCUGAUCCAGCCAUGCCGCGUGAGUGAAGAAGGCCCUAGGGUCGUAAAACUCUUUCGCCUGUGAUGAUAAUGACAGUAGCAGGUAAAGAAACCCCGGCUAACUCCGUGCCAGCAGCCGCGGUAAUACGGAGGGGGUUAGCGUUGUUCGGAAUUACUGGGCGUAAAGCGCACGUAGGCGGAUUAGAAAGUUAGAGGUGAAAUCCCGGGGCUCAACCCCGGAACUGCCUUUAAAACUACUAGUCUAGAGUUCGAGAGAGGUGAGUGGAAUUCCGAGUGUAGAGGUGAAAUUCGUAGAUAUUCGGAGGAACACCAGUGGCGAAGGCGGCUCACUGGCUCGAUACUGACGCUGAGGUGCGAAAGUGUGGGGAGCAAACAGGAUUAGAUACCCUGGUAGUCCACACCGUAAACGAUGAAUGCCAGUCGUCGGGUAGUAUACUAUUCGGUGACACACCUAACGGAUUAAGCAUUCCGCCUGGGGAGUACGGUCGCAAGAUUAAAACUCAAAUGAAUUGACGG
rnacentral:rRNA from 1 species